rnacentral:rRNA from 1 species
CAGUAGCGUAUAUUAAAGUUGUUGCAUUUAAAAAGCUCGUAGUUGGUGUGCCGCAUGUGGUUGACAAGCUACUUUGCAAGUCAAGUUCAUGCAGUUUUAAGCUUCGGCUUUUUACACCGUGAUUAAAUUAGUGUGAUCCAAACAGGCUUUGUUCGAAUGGUUCAGCACGGUAUGGGUUUUUGACGGACUACCAAGUUUCUUGGAAGUUUGUAAUUCUUAAUACAGGUGAUGGAAUCCGUAUUGAGUUGUUAGAGGUGAAAUUCUUGGACCAACUCAAGACGAACUGAAGCGAAAGCUUUUUCCACAUAUGCUCUUAUUAA